rnacentral:rRNA from 1 species
CCUACGGGUGGCAGCAGUGGGGAAUAUUGGGCAAUGGGCGCAAGCCUGACCCAGCAACGCCGCGUGAAGGAAGAAGGCUUUCGGGUUGUAAACUUCUUUUGUCAGGGAAGAGUAGAAGACGGUACCUGACGAAUAAGCCACGGCUAACAACGUGCCAGCAGCCGCGGUAAUACGGAGGUGGCAAGCUUUGUCCGGAUUUACUGGGUGUAAAGGGCGUGUAGCCGGGUUGACAAGUCAGAUGUGAAAUCCUGCGGCUUAACCGGAGAACUGCAUGUGAAACUGUUGAUCUUGAGUACUGGAGGGGCAGACGGAAUGCCUAGUGUAGCGGUGAAAUGCGUAGAUAUUAGGAGGAACACCAGUGGCGAAGGCGGUCUGCUGGACAGGAACUGACGGUGAGGCGCGAAAGCGUGGGGAGCAAACAGGAUUAGAUACCCUAGUAGUC